rnacentral:lncRNA from 1 species
UGAUGUUGUAUCAUUUCUGUGCUUAUCAUUGAGCACCGAGUGACCUAAGUUAAGGAAUGGCAUGGUGUCAUUGGCAUCAAAUAUGACACACGAGUUUCGGCAUAUUAAAUCUUAUUCAUCUUUCUGGAUUAGUCAAGUAAACAAUGAAGGAGAAUAAAUAAUGGUCCUCUCUGUGAAAGGAAACUAGUAAUCUGAUGGCCGUCUUAUAACUGAAUAAUGUAAAGAAAUUUAUCAAUCCAUCAUCAUAUAGUAAGCUGUUGUUAAUUUAGCUGAUCUUUUUAUCUUUAUGAUAAUGUAGAGUGAGAAGGCAUUGGCCAGUGUGGAUGAUGCUGCCCGUCAAGCAUCCUUGAAGGAAGUGCAGAAGCACAGCAAGAUUUUGCUCGGGCGCUUAUCCCAUGGCAACGGAUGCAUGAAAGCUCUCCUUCUUAUCGGUAUCACAGUGGCUGUGGGUGCUGCUUUUGUCUCAAAGGACUUGCAGUCCCUGGAUCUCAAGAAGCUGUUGGCUGUUGUCUCUAAGGACUUGCAGUCCCUGGAUCUCAAGAAACUUCUGGCUGAUCUCAACUUGGCUUGAUCCUUCCCCUCUAUGUAGAGGAGGGUUGUAAGUCAAUCACCUUACCUUGCUUUGUUAUAUGUCUAAAUUAUGUCCCGGCGCAGAGAAGAUGGCGGCCCAUAACAAAAUGGGUAGAGAUUGAGUUGUUAUAGGAAAAAAUAGAUACACUAAAUAUGAUGCCUAAGUUUGUGGCCUCAUUUUUACAGGGUUUGUGUUUUUUUUUAAGUUUCUAUGAAACAAAACUAUUUAAGUAAUCAAGUUUCGUUGACUGAAUUCUGUUUGGUUUUCCUUUUCCAAACCAUUUUCAAAUGAUUUGAAAUGGUUCUAUGUAUAUGAACGGAAUGGUAAGAUGGCUAUGGUUGAAAAGCUUUCCCUUGACUUUUUAGCUGCUAUUAUGUACAAUGGUUCUCUCAUGAGAACUUGGGCCUUUUCCCUUAUGUACUUUUUCUUAUAGUCUCAUUCAGGAGCGGGAAAGGAAAGAUGAAUUACGCGGUCAUCGAGAUCUUUACAUAAAGUAUAAGCAUUACAAUAAAUUCAAAGCCAUGAACAAAGGGGAUUGACUGAGAAGUAGAGCUAAGCCAUCUAUUCCAAAAACUGUAUCUGCUAGUGCGGCCAAGCUUCUCUAAAUUGAAGUGUUUGGCCAAAGUGUUUUUGAGCAGAAGCAAAAAUUGUUUUGGAGAAGCAGAAAAAAAUCAUCUAUCUCCAAAAGCAUUUUUUUAAAAGUACUUUUGAGAAAAAUACACUUAGUAACACUUUUUAAAGCUUGGUCAAACACUAAUUGCUGCUUAAAAGUGCUUUUCAAAUUAAUUAGCCAAACACAAACUGCUUCUCACCGAAAAUACUUUUAAAAAAAGCAUUUUUGAGCAAAAAACACUUCUCAAAAUAAGCUCAUUUUAGAAGCUUGGCCAAAUAUGCUAUUAGUAGAAAUGACACCAGAUAGCCAUUCUAAAGUGAUGCUAUUUAGGAAUUAGUCAAUGCGUCUUGAAUUUAAAUUUUUUCGUUUAAUUUUUCAGGACACAAAUGUCUUGAAUUGUUUGAAAUUAAGAUUUUUAGUUCAAAAUUUUCGGAACAAAAUAAGUAUUGGCUAAUCCCUAAAUAGCAGCCCUAAAAAUGGCGGUUUGUGCGCUUCUCCCUUUUUUUUGAGUUUUGGUCGUUGUAUUGGGCAAUUUACUUUGUAACUAUUAUUUGUUUGAUUUUUGGUUUCUAAUCUUAUUUUAUUAGUAGCCAUGAUUAGUUUUCUACCCUUAGUUUCUGUUCUCUUUGUUCUAACUAAAGAAUUAACUUUAAGUAGGAGUUUAAGAACUCUACGUUAGAAUGAGUUAGAUUUUAAUGAGCUUUUUGGAUAAUUCAAUAUGAGCGAACUCUAGAAACAUCAUACCAUAUGUAAUGGCUCUUACAUAUAUAUGUUCAGUGGAUUAAUUAGUUGAUUUAAUCAAUAUUUUUUAAAAUUAUUGAGGGUCUCCUAACGGACAUUGAUUUCACCUUGAAAAGCAAAAAAA